rnacentral:piRNA from 1 species
UCUGCCUAUGUGAUGAUGAAAUCUCUGCA